GAUGAAGAACGUAGCGAAAUGCGAUAAGUAAUGUGAAUUGCAGAAUUCAGUGAAUCAUCGAAUCUUUGAACGCACAUUGCGCCCCCUGGUAUUCCGGGGGGCAUGCCUGUUCGAGCGUCAUUUCACCACUCAAGCCUCGCUUGGUAUUGGGCAACGCGGUCCGCCGCGUGCCUCAAAUCGUCCGGCUGGGUCUUCUGUCCCCUAAGCGUUGUGGAAACUAUUCGCUAAAGGGUGUUCGGGAGGCUACGCCGUAAAACAACCCUAUUUCUAAGGUUGACCUCGGAUCAGGUAGGGAUACCCGCUGAACUUAAGCAUAUCAAUAAGCGGAGGA
rnacentral:misc_RNA from 1 species